AGGUGUACUGUCCACCAGUGUACACAGGGCCUGGAACUGCAACACCAACCACAGUCUCAAAAUCCUCUCCAGUCUCCGGGUCACCUGAUGCUGCAGUGACACCCCCUGACAUGCUUUCAGAGUCCUUAUGUCCUGACCUUUUUCCCCCACCUUCU